UGCUGAAUGAUGACAGAUCUUUCCCUGACAUCACUGUGAGGGUACAAACUGAUUUAAUGAGCCUGAUGC